AGGAGCAGAACAGAGUUCCUUGGAAGGUCCCAGCAGAUCCAACCAGUCUACAGCGCCAAACGGAUUCAAACGCCAUUUUCUGAGCCAUAAACUGGACUGUGACAAUCAGCCGCAAGACCCAGACAGACUGUUCCAGAGAUGCUUUUUGGCUACUGUGACCACAAUCAACGUGCAAGGACCUUCCUGAGUUCAGUUCUCCAAACAAUGUGUAUGUAGAGGUUAUCUUAGGAGCAUCCACAGUGCAAAAAUGCCUAUCUAUACUUUUAAAGUAUUUUCUCCAAGCACCAUAACCACUUCCAUGAUUUAAAGUCAUGAUGGUGCCUGACGUGUGUAUGUGCAGCGUUUCACUGUCAAAUGCAUGUCUUGGGCCAUUUCAUGUGGUGUCAUCAGCCCGCAUGGAAUUAGAAUUCCGUGCUGGCUAAUGUAAAUUCUGUGCAAGUUUUUUUUUUCCAAUUUUUAUUUUGAGGUGCAGGCAAAAUACAGAAAAUAUGCAUCAUCAUCAAACAGCUUUAAGCACAUAAAACACAGACAUGGGCAAUGUGAACGUAUGUGUGUGCAUUAGAGAAACUUUUUGUUUGUUUGUUUUUUUAAACGCACCUGAUAGAACACUCGAAAAGCACAGUGCUAUGAGUGAUAACGUAGAGGAAAAUAAAUGAUAGCCCAUGCACUCGGGGUAUAUGCUAGACUGUUAUCAGGGUAAGCAAGCUGAGUGACUGGUAAUCAGUGAGAGCUCCACGAAAAUCUUUUAACUGACCACAGCUUAUAUCAGAUGAAGGAAAUUAGGGAGAGAGGCAUUCGCAAAAAUAGAGUAUAUAAUCAUACUAGGGGGCUUCAACAAUGCAAUGCAGCUAGGUUAAACAAGAGGGACAGUAAGGUCAGACUGCAAGGGUUCCCUCAGCCUAAAUCCGCAGCUGGUUAGACAUAGUCCCAUAGGAUGGUACAGUUGUGAUAGCUCAAUGGCAUGAGAGCUGACAAAAUGGAGACAGGAUGAUUUGGCAGCCUCUCCGACUCCGACUAGGAAUCUCUCUCCUCUGUUGCCUGUCGGAAUAUCCCAGGGUGCAGGUUUUAUUUUUGCACAAUGUGCCAUUCAUUGUCAGCUGAAGCUCUCAUUCAGGGAAUGGUUGUUAUGGUUGUGAUGCUUAGAGUAACCCGCUAUUGUCUAUAGAUAUAGCUUUUGCAAUUUGCAGCAAUUAACUAUAUGGUAGUACCAUUUUCUUUAAAUAUUUUUUUAGCCAUCAUUGACUCCAUGAGACACUCAACAUAAGGAUACACAAUAUAUAUUGGCAGGAUACACAAUAUAUCCUAGUCCCUUCUGUAGAUUUUUCCCCCUUUAUGUCUGAGCUAUGAUUUGUUGGGUAGCAUGGCCUGAUAUGCAUAAAGUCCAUUGGGAUUAUUCACUAAAGAAAAAAAUUGUACUCUAGACAUACAAGGUCUCCCGGACUCCCUUCACAAACAAGGGGCUUAACUGGAUCUGAGGCUGGCUGGACCUUGGUCAGUAGUAGAAAGGACAGGAUGGUCCAGGCACUCAAAGUGUGUCAAUAACGUAGAUUUAUGGGAGGACACAGCAACGUUUCAACCUCAACUUAGGUCUACUCUUUAUAAAGACAAAAUUCUAUUAAAGAAAACAUUUUAGGCCAUUCACAGUAAAUUUUUUAUUUUAAUCUGAAGGAUCUGAACAAGACACAUAAUUGUCUUGGAGAAAUUUUUCAAUUCUGCUCUUUCAGCCCAAAUAUGUAAACUUCGAUUUGAAUUCACUUUUUACCCUGCAUAUGCUGUUUUUAUCUUAUUUUCCUUGAUUUAAAAUAAACAAUAAAUUUCUGUCUAGAACUUUAUUAUUUAUACGGGUCAUUAACCCGUUCGUUGUCAAGCACUUUUUGAUUGAAAAAUGUUAGCAUAACAUUUAUUUAAGUCAUUUGACCUACACUUUUGCACAUUUUUUUUUCAUUUAUUCAUUCUUUUUUUUUUUUAAUUCUUUAUUUUUGGUAUGACAGUGCGAUACAAUACUGAAGAAACACAUGUGGUACAAGGUAUAGGUAACCAAUACGUAAUCCAAUGUACAGAUGAUUAUAUCAUCGUUACAGUUUGCGUGAGUGUGUUCAGCUUGAAAAAAUGUGCUAAUGAGUGUCAUUUUUCUUGCAUUUUCAUACAUACAUACAUUUUAUGAGAGAUUGUGAGUCUUUAUACAAUAAAAGGGAUAAAGAGAAAAGAGAGAGAAGAAAACAUGCCAUAACUGGGUAUUGUAAGUACCGCAGAUGUCCAGCUCUGGUUGUAGCCCCCAGUAGGCCGUAUUAUAAAAGGCAAGGGUAGGGCAGGGGGGGGGGAGAAGGAAGGGCAGGAGGGGAGGGGGAGGGGGGGAUCCCCGUGGCGGAGUCCGGAGCGGUGCGGUGAGAGGCUCUGUUGGUGUCUAGUUAAGUGUUGGCACUUUGGGAAGGCCCUGUAGUGGGAUUUCCGUAGCUCUCCCAGUUCCCUGAUAACCAUGGUUCCCAGACCUUUUCGUAUCGUGUCCUGGUGUCUCUCACUAGUGCGGUAAGGUGGUCCAUGACCUGGAUAUCUUUGAUUUUGUGGAGUACAGUGUUGAUCUGUGGGAUUGUAGUUUGGAGCCAUGCCUGCGCCAUGGUGAGUCUGGCCGCUAGUGUGAUUUUGUGUAGGAGUUUCUGGUCCUUUUUAGGCCAGUCUUCUAGUGUUCUGGAGAGCAGAAAAACCCAUGGGUCUGUUUUGACUUGUCUGUGAAAAACCUCACUUAGGAGGUUGCCCACUUCUCUCCAGAAGGCCUGCGCUUUCGGGCAUUCCCACCACAUAUGGAUGUACGUCCCUUUGGUUCCGCAGCCCCUCCAACACAAGUCGUUUGGAGUUUUACGCAUGCGGUAUAAUUUUACUGGAGUAGUGUACCAGCGCAGCAUGGUCUUAUAGGCCUGCUCUUGGUGGGUAACGCACGUGGAAAUAGCUUUGUUUGCGUCCCAUAUUUCUCUCCACUCUGUGCCCUCUAGAGUCUCUUUGAGGUCUGUUUCCCAGUGGGCGGUGUAGGUCAAGUCGCCCCAAUCACUGUUUGUGCAUAAAUGUGCGUAUAGGUAUGAAAUAAGUCCCUUUGGGGGGUUUUCUUUGAGACACAUUCGCUCAAAGCCCGUGGGCUCAGUAUGUGCUGCCGUUUUGGCCAGAUUGUGUUGUGCGAAGUCUCGGAUUUGAAUAUAGCGAAAAAAGUCGGGGGGCCUAAGCCUGGUGUUUUCCUGUAGCUUAUCAAAUGUCACUAUUUGGUCCCCUUCAUACAGGUGGAUCGCUCGCUGUAGGCCCGCCACCUCAAUGUUUCUGAAGUCUCGGGCCCUCAUUCCCGGUGGGAACGCUCUGUUCCUCAACAAGGGCAUCAGAGGAGAGGGUGUGGUGGUUAGUUUGUAUUUUUGGCCCACUGCGUCCCAGAUUCUAAGGGAAUUGAGGAUCGCCGGGCAAUCUGUGCGCAGGAUAGCCCUGUGUUCCCUGGGAAGCCACAUGUAAAAUUGGGGCAGGUCCGCUCCCAUGAUUCCUGAUUCCAAAUCAGCCCAUCUGCGGUCGUCCGGUGUUGAGUGCCACAUAGCUAUUUGCGCCAGUUGAGCCGCUAAAUAGUAGUUAUAGAGAUGGGGGAGGCCCAGUCCACCCCCUUCCCUGGGUCUAUACAGUACAUUGCGUGCUACUCUGUGGCGCUUGCGUUGCCAAAUAAAAUCCCCUAUGGACCUCUGCAAGGGGGCUAGGUCUGUUUUAGUUAUGGGUAUGGGAAGCGCUUGAAAAAGGAAGAGGAGUCUCGGGAGGAUGUUCAUUUUUAUCGUAUGGACCCGCCCGAUCCAGGAUAUUGGCUUGUCAGUCCAUCUGUCAAGGUCUGCAUUAAGGGUGCGGAGGAUCGGUGUGAAAUUCGCCCCGUAUAGUUGUGAGGGGUCAGCGGUGAGUUGUAUACCCAGAUAUUUUAUGGAAGUGUGCGUUAUGGGUAUAUGGUGUUGGGUGCUUAUGUAUGUAGCGUCGUGCAUUGUCAUUGCGAUUGGGAGUGCGGCCGAUUUGCCCAGGUUAACCUUAUAUCCCGAUAAGGCUCCGUAGUCUGCUAAUUCUUUAUCUAAGGCGAGCAUUGAGGUCCUUGGGGUUGUAAGCGUGAGAAGGACGUCGUCCGCAUAGCCUGAGACUUUGAAUGUUUGGUCCCUCACUGAGAUUCCGUGUAUUAAUUGGUUCAAUCUGAUCGCCUGCAGUAGGGGCUCUAAAGUGAUGACAAACAGGAGGGGAGACAGCGGGCAACCCUGGCGCGUGCCGUUGUGUAAAUUAAAAGGGGGUGUCUGGGCGCCCGUAAUCUGAAUGUGUGCUUUAACGUCCGUGUACAUAGCUUGGAUCGUGGUAAUGUACCGUUCGGGGAAGUGGAGAUGUCGAAGGAGUUCGAAUAGGUAUGUCCAGUUUACCCUAUCGAACGCCUUUUCCGCGUCGAGAGAGAGCAUGAGCGUUGGUGUGCGUGUGAUCGUCUGCGUCCAGAUUAAGUCAAUGUUACGCCUGGUGUUUUCAAAUAACUGUCGUCCGGGGACAAAACCCACCUGGUCCGCAUGGACCAGGUGUGUUAGGUGUGGAGACAGUCUAUCUGCUAAUAUUUUGGCUAGUAUUUUAACGUCUUGGUUGAUCAAUGAUAUGGGCCUGUAAUUUUCAGGGUAUGUUGCGUCUUUUCCGGGUUUGGGUAAUAGUAUUAUAUGGGCCGUGGACAUAUCUGGGUCUGGUCGUCCAUCCUGCAUCAAAUAGUUGAACCAUUUUAAUAAAUGCGGUGUCAGUUCUUCUCGGUAUGUUUUAUAAUAGCUGCCCACAUAGCCAUCGGAGCCCGGGGCCCUAUGCCCGUUGAAGCGUGAUAUCGCUCUAUCUAUUUCAUCUGCUGUGACCUCGUCGCCUAAAGACUCUAUUGCUACAGGGGUCAACUUCGGGAGGUCUAGCUUGCUCAGGUACUGUCUGAUCUCGUCUCGUAGGUGCGGUAUUUUGUCAGCCUCGGUAGGUGUGUGAUUGUAUAGGGUUGUAUAAAACUCUGUGAAUAUCCGCGCUAUGUCUGCCGGUGCCGUUUUGAUCUGACCUGCGCGAUCCCUAAGUGUAGUGAUGUGUGUUCGGCGUGGGCGCGGGCGUAGGGUACGGGCCAGAAACGUGUGCAUUUUGUUAGCCUGUUCAUAAUAUGUUCUCUUAGACCAGAGCAUAGUUUUCGCUACGUCUGCCACUAAAGUCUCCUUUAUUUGGCGUCGUGUAGUCUGUAGGGCCAGAAGCCCAUCUGGGGUGGGGUUAGUUUUAUGUCUCUGCUCUUGUGUGUGUAAGUCCCGUAGGAGGGACUUUAAUUGUUGUGUUUUCAGUUUCUUUUUCUUGGUGGCUUCCCUUAUUAGUGUGCCUCUGAUAACCGCUUUGUGAGCAGCCCAUACCGUGGCGGGAGUUAACUCUGGAGAGGAGUUGAGUUGGAAAUAUUCUACUAUCUCUGUGCGAAUAGUCUCUCGAAUAGUAGGGUCCUGUAAUAGGGACGCAUUGAGCUUCCAAUUCCAUGGAGUCGCGGUGCAGAGGUUUCCCAAUUCUAAGCUAAUGUCUGAAUGGUCUGACCAUGUGAUAGAUUCUAUUGUGGACUUCGUGAUCUUUGGAAUGGCAUGGUCAUUUACUAAAAAGUAGUCGAUACGGGAGUACGAGUCAUGUGGCGCAGAGUAGAACGUAUAGUCCGCUUCUCCCGGGUGGUGGGCCCUCCACACAUCUAUCAGACCUGUGGAGCAGAGGAAGUCGUGGAUCAGUUUGUCUGACCUUCCUCUGCCGUGUGAGCGCGGGAAACCUCUUAUGCUGCCUCUGUCUAUAGCUGGGCAUGGGGCGGCGUUAAAAUCGCCCCCCAUGAUAAGCAUACCAUGAGGCAGGGUGUGUAAUUUGUCGGCCAAUUUGUCCCAGAAAUCCCUAGAAGGGUCUGUGGGGGCAUAAAUAUUUAUGAGAUUGAUCGUGUGAGCAAAUAGCGUCCCUGUCAGGAUAAGGUAUCUGCCGUCCGUGUCUGUGUGGACCCCCGUGACUCGCAGUGGGCAUCGUUUAUGUAUUAGUAUCGCUACUCCGUUGCGUUUGGAGUGCGACCUAGCCUCAUAUCCUGUGCUAUAAAUGUGGUCCUUGAGAGUUAUGCCCAGGGUUUUGGGCAGGUGGGUUUCUUGUAAAAAGGCCACAUCUGGGCCUAGUCUCUUAAGUUCUCUAUAUAAUAGUCUACGCUUUUUUGGGGCGUUUAGUCCCUUAACAUUUAGAGAGUGUAUGUGUGUAGACACGGUGGUGUCGUAAGUGUAAGCGCGUGGGCUACCUUACUGAUGACUUCCUCUGUUGGGCCUUGGGGUUCGUCCUUUGGGGGACCCUGUCCCUCUGGUGUUUCAGGUACCGCUUUCGAGUCGCUCCGGCCGCCACGAGGGGGGAGAGGGGAAGGUAGGAAGGAAAAAGAGAGGUUAUUAACCAUAUCAUAAACAUAAACAUAUAUACAAUAAACGGUUGAACUGAUAAACCGUCUGGUCUUAUCCCUUGCCAGACUUGUGCGGGGCAUCUGCAUCAGCGCCUCUGGCCCUCCUGCAGUGGGGUCAGCUCGCGGAUGCAUGGUCCCGAACCUGAAUGAAUUUGACCUGAGGCCCGUUAAUGUCUGCGGGGUGAUCCCCGCCUCCAGGCCUUCCCGCUCGUCGGUCCCUACGUCGCCCAGGGGGUUGGGGGAAGUCCCAUUCCGCUUAGGGGUCGCUAAGUUGCUGGAAUCUUGUCCAUAAGGGGCGGGGGGCAUAUCACGAUCAGUCUGUGUCUGUUCUGGAUGGUCCGUAUAGUAUAUUUUUAAGGAGUGGCCCAGUCCGGUGUUGGCGACCGUUCGGAUGUCAUGUAUCAUCGGCGCCCGUCCCUGGGCACCGGCAAAAAAGGCUGAGCCAGCAGGGGCUAGAGUCGCUAAUGUCAAACUUACAGCCGAAUAAUCUGGUCUCCCGUCCCCCUCCCCCCUCCCGCAGCACCCCCACCCCCACCACCCCACAAGCGGCCACCUGUCCUCUUUGUAAAGGAGUCCAUCCUCCCCCUUCCCAAUGUGUGCUGGAAGAAAAAUCUUUUUUUUUUUUUUUUGUUUAGUUUUGUUUAAAAGUGAGUUAUAUCCCCCUCCCCCUGUCCCUCUGUUGUUCCCUCCCCCCCCCCAGCAUCUGUGGGUACUGAAUGGAACUCCCCGCAGGUAUGUGUAUAAUUUGCCCUUUUUUUUGUGUAGUCUUGUUUAAAAGUGAGUAUAUCCCUCCCCUUGUCCUCUGUUGGUCCCUCCCCAGCAUCUGUGGGUACUGAAUGGAACUCCCCGCAGGUAUGUGUAUAAUUUGCCUUUUUUUUUUUGUAUGCGUCCAAGUAGGUAGAAACCCCCCGUAGUGGGCUUUGGUUGUGAGCGUUUGUGGUACCAAAAACCUUGGGGGUGGGGGCAAGUCCUCACCCCCCCCUCAUGUCCCUUGUCAUCUCACCCUCCUGGGGAUGUCCAUCUGGGCGAGGCGGUCCGGGUGCGGGUGCCUGGUGUGCAUCCGUUCUACGGUGUGUGUCUUCGUUCCCCCGCUGUAUGCCAUUCUCUCGGUAGCAGUUGCAGGUCUGUCGGAGUCGCCGCGCGCCAUUGCAAGUCUGGCGGCGCCUGGAGGUCCAGCGCCUGGAGAAAAGCCGCUGCGUCCCCAUCAGGUGGCAGGAUCUUUGGUCUGCCAUUCUUGAACGCCAUAAGCUUAAAGGGAUGGCCCCAUGCAUAUUUUAUGUUGUGGGUCCUGAGGAUGUCGGUGAUCGGUCGCCAUUCUCUGCGUCUCUGGAGUGUCGUUGGGGCUAGGUCCUGGAACAGUAGCAGAGUGCUGCCUUUAUACUUGAUAGGGCCGUCUCUGCUAUUCUUCAUUAUAGUUUCUUUUGUUUGGAAAUGCUGGAAGCGCAUAAUUAUAUCUCUCGGCUGUUUGGCAUCUAACUUCCUGGUUCCCAGGGCCCUGUGAAUCCGGUCCAGAUGCCACAGUUGGGCUGGAAUAUUUGGUGCUAGGGGUUUUAGGAUCGCCAUGACUGUGUCUGUCAGGUCCCCCUCCCCCUCUUGUUCUGGCAGGCCUCGCAGCCUGAUGUUGUUUCGGCGGGAACGAUUUGCCAAAUCUUCUAAGGCCGCCUCUCCUGCUAUUAACCUGGCUGUGAGGUUAUUCACCCUGCCUGUUACCUCAUUGUGUGCCAGGACUGUUGCCUCUUGCCUGUGUUCCAGGGCUGCCGUGCGGUGUCCAAGCGCCGCGAUCUCGGCUUUCACCUCUGCCGUGGACCUGCUGAUCUCCCCUGCCAGGUAAGCCUUUACUUCCAGCAGCUGUGCCAGGAUCUGAGAGGUCUCCUCAGCUGGUAUAACUUGUCCCCUGGGGGGCUCCGGGUGCUCGCGUGCUGGGGAGGUCCUGGGACUGAGGUGGCCGCCAUCUUGCCUUGCAGGCUGAUUUGCGCGGGAAGCUGUGAAGAGGUCUGCCACUGUAGCGCCCGGCUCCGACGGCCGCUUAUGAGGUUUCCGCCGGGUCCUUUUAUCCAUGCCGCAGCCGCCGGUGUGGUCCCGGGGUAGGUGGUGCUCGGGUGUUUUGCUUUUGUCUGCUUUAGGGCCUCGGUCUAGCGGGAGCUCAGCUCACGAGCGUCCGCUCUGCAUCGCGGUCAGGCCACGCCCCCUCAUUUAUUCAUUCUUAAUAGAUAUACAGAAGAAAUGAAAAGCUUCAGCUAGUGUAAAAGAUACUAUUGCUAUAUUUUUCAUUUCAAAUAUAAGUUUCAAAGCAAAAAUACAGUUUUUAUUAUAUACAGUUGUAUGAUGAAAAUAGAUAAAUAAAAUUGGCCAAAUACCUUGCUUAUUGGCAUUUAUAGGGACCUUGAUCACAUUACUAGCUGUACAGCUCACAGAAGGCUACUGAAAAUGACAACAGAAUGCAAAAAGAUUGCACACAUAACAUCAAUAAUGUAUUUAUUUCUAAAAUAAAGGAAUUUUAAAAAGUUUUAUAGAAAUAUUGUAAUGUCAAUAGGCUUUAGAGGCAAACGAGAGGCAGCAUUUAUCUCUCCCCUCUCCCUGACAAUAGAAAUGAUACGGUCUUUGAAGUUUCAUUUUCAGUUUUACAGAUGUUAAAGGGGAACGGUCAUUUCUAUGGAAUUUAUAAAUUAAAUAAAAUGUUAAAAACCAUCAAAUUAUUUUUGUAUAAAAUGUUCCAUUUUCUAUUAAAUUUGUGUUGAAGAUUUAGCAAAUACAUCAUAAUCCAGUUUAGACAAGGCAUAACCAGGGCACACAUUACAAACAAAGAGGAUAAAUAGAAACAUUGUAUCAUGUCUCCCUUUCUCUGUGUGCUUUCUCUAUGGUGACAGCCAGGUGUAAAGGGCAGAGCUUAUAACUAUGAUUGACAGGGAGCCAAGAUGGAGGCGCCCAGGUUCAGGAAAAAGCUUGUGGAUUUUAUAUUUACAGGGUUAUACACUAAAGUGAAGAUUGACUGGAAUUCAAAGUUAGGUCAAAAUGAAUUUAAAAAAAAUUAGUCCACAACAGCGAAAUUAAAAGAAAAAAGUUCACAUCAAUCCCGUUUUCUGUCUGGCUAUCGUGACCUUAGAGUUGAAAUUUACUUUUAAUUCACUUAAAAUUCCAAUGGGCAACUCUCACUUUAAACCAGUUAAUUUUAUCUUUUCAGAUCUAACAAAUACAUAUGUUUUGAACAUAGGGAUAAGUAAACAGAAUAAUAAGAAUUUUGAGAAAGUCAUCCCUUGAUAAGCCGGUAAUCAUUCCAUUAGUGUGAAUAUAAGUAUGUGAGAUUUUAAAUUUCAUUUUGCAAAACAAGUGGAAGUAAACCUGUAUACAUAAUUUUUGUAGUUUUGCACUCUACUUAAAGGGAUACAAUAAACACCAAAACAACUUCAGAUAAUUAAAGUAGUUUUGGUGAAGAGAUCGUGCCCUGCAGUCUAGCUGCUCAGUCCUCUGUAAUUUGGGAGAUAAAUCACUUUGUUUAUGUAGCCCUAGACACAACUUACUGGCAUGUGAAGAAAGAUCUAAUAUUUAUACUUGCCUUAUUGCACAGUCUGUUUAACUUAGAAUGUAUUAUCUCCUGCUCUGUUAAUAGCUUACUUAAGCCUGCAGGAGCCUCCUGUUUGUAAUUAAAGUUCAAUUAACAUAGCAGGAAAUAAAAACUUCUAUAGUAAACACACUGUGCUGUGACAUCUGAUUGUAAAUGAAAACUGUUUUUCAUGCAGGCUGUGUCAGUCACAGCCAGGAGAGGUGUGGCUAGAGCUGCAUAAACAGAAACAAAACUUAUGUAAUUCCUAAAUGGCAGCGAACUGAGCAGUGAGACUGCAGGGGCAAUACCAAAACUGCUUCAUUAAGCUAAAGUUGUGUGUAGAUGAUCACUUUUAGUAAAGUAGCAUACCUAUUCUACCAUUAAAAAUCUGGAAUAAGUACAUGCUGGGUCUUUACAGCAUUAUUUCCUAAAUGAGAAAAAUAUAAAAUUUUUACAUUUUCUUGCAAAAUAUAUUUUCCAUGAGAAACCCGUUUUUACUGUCACUUUUGAGUUUAUCAUAAAGACAGAAUUAAUUCAUAGUCAAACACAAUUACACAAUAUCAUAAGAUAAGGUAUGAUUUACAUUGGCAAUAUCAAGCACAGAAUAGCAGAGAGAAAUAAAAUCAUAAAAAAAAUUCUAAAAGCCAAAAGACAUAUAGUAGCAGUCUCAAGGGAAAAUGAAAACAAAAUAAUAAUGGUUUUAAAAGGACACUAUAGUCUCCGAAAUAAUUUUUGCUUAAUGAAGCCGUUUUGAUGUGUAGAUCAUGCCCCUGCUGUCUCACUACUCAAUUAUCUUCAAUUUAGGAGUUAAAUCACUUUGUUUAUGCACUUAGUUACACCUCCAUGCAUGUGACUUGCACAUCCUUUCUAAACACUUCCUGUAAAGAGUCUUCUAAUGUUUAUACUUCCUUUUUUGUGAAUUAUGUUUAAUUUAUAAUUUCUUAUCUCCUGUUCUGCUAAUAGCUUAGUAGACCGUGCAGGAGCCUCAUGUGUGUGAUUAAAGUUAAAUUUAAAGAACUAGAGUCAAAAACGUUUUAAAUAAGUUACAUCUGUUUUUUUUUUUUCAUGCUGGCUAUGUGGACAGAAACACGUGAUCUUCCUCAGUGUGCAGUAGCUGGCUAUGGCAUCUCAUUAUGCAGCAUGCAGCACAUCAAUGUAACAUUCCUCAGUUCCAGGAACCUUCCAUAGACAGAACUUAUUAAAGACACAGUUACACUAAUGAAGUGCCCCUAAAGUCUUAAUAUACUUGAAGGUUAAAACCCAGUUCCUGAAAUAGAGGCCCAGAGGUGUAAAACCGGAUUUAUCCUCCUUGCUACCCUACGGCCAGUAUUCUCAAUGCACCAACGUUCAAUAUAUUCAACUGGAUACAUUUAUACGACUAGUUUGGGGUAUAAUUGAAUGGUGAAUGUGACUAGGUGGGUGGUUGGAAGAUAUGUUGGACACGGCUUGGAGAUGGUGUGUGUCUGGAGGUUGGUUGUGGGGUUGUAUGUUUGUUGGAAAGAAAUAUAGAAUUCGACGGCAGAUAAGAACCAUUCAGCCCAUCUAGUCUGCCCAAUUUCCUAAAUACUUUCAUUAGUCCCUGGCCUUAUCUUAUAUCUAGGAUAGCCUUAUGCCUAUCUGUCAUGCUUACCCAUUCCGGAACUCCCCGUUCCAGCAGUGGGUCUGACGCUGUAUGCUAUGCAUGCGGGUCUAUUGUAUGAAAUCGCGCUGACGUCAUAACGGCGUGACUCUAAGUGCGAAUCGAUCAGUACGAACGAGUAGAAACACCCGAGUUUGGUGUUUGGCCAAACUCAGGUCUUUAGGCACUUCAAAAUGAUGCCGACCAAUAGUGUUAGUUCCCUAGCUAUAUAAAGCCAGGACUUUCAGUAGCAAGUUGCCCUGUUGUGGUUUUUGAUUACCCAAGAGUGAGCUUUAAAGUAGUUUGGAUUUCUUGUUACUGACUUUGGCUUGUUUAAUCGUCUCUCCGAUUUCUGUCUUCCUGACCUUGGCUUGUUUUCUCAUUUAUGCUGUUUUCCCCUAUGUUUGACCCCGGCUCUCUCUCUGACUACUCUUUACGUUAAAUCUGGCCAUGCUAUGGCCCUGUAAUAUCUUAUGCUAUCCCUUAGGCAGAUUGGGGUCUGUGAGUGUUGAAUUUUUCUAUCUAUCCGUGACACUAUCACACACAUGCUUAAUCUCCCUUACUAUUCCAUGCAUCCACUACCCUUUCACUAAAGUAAUACUUCCUGAUAUUAUUUUUAAACCUUUGCCCCUCUAAUUUCAGACUAUGUAUUUAAAUGUUUCUAUCAUAUCCCCCGUCUCGUCUUUCCGCCAAGCUAUACAUGUUAAGAUCCUUUUCCUUUCAGAUGUUGAGGUUAGGAUUGAAUCAAAUAUUCUGUACUCUGCCCUUGGGUUUUUACGUCCAAGAUGCAUUAUCUUGCACUUAUCCACAUUAAAUGUCAGUUGCCACAACUCUGACCAUUUUUCUAGUUUACCUAAAUCAUUUGCCAUUAGGCUUACCCAUCCUGGAACAUCAACCCUGUUGCAAAAAGACAUCAAGACCAAUUAUAAUUUCACUAAUAAAAAUUAUUGAAGAGAAUGGGUACAAGUACAGAACCCUGAGGUACCCCACUGGUAACAAGACCUUGCUUAGAAUAUACUCCAUUGACUACAACCCUCUGUUUCCUGUUAUUCAGCCACUGCUUAACCUCUUAGUGACCAGACCGUUUUGAAAUUUUCUUAUCAUUAAGGACCAGGGCUGUUCCUCUUACUCAUUCACUGUACCCACACAUAUUAUAUACUGUUUUUCUCGCCCUUAAGUUGUCUUUUUAAAGAUACCAUUAUUUUCAUCAUAUCAUAUAAUUUACUAUUAAAAAAAUUAUAAAAUAGGAUGAAGAAAUAAAAUAAACACACUUUUUGUAACAUUGAUCCCCAAAAUCUGUUCCACAUCUACAAUUGCCAAAAAACACCCGUGCUUAAUAAUUUCUAAAGUUUGUCCUGAGUUUAGAAAUAGAAAAUGUUCUUAGCUUUUUUUUUUUGCAAGUUAUAGGGCUAUAAGUACAAGUAAGACAUUGCUGUUUCAAAAUAUAUAUAUUUAAAAUGUAUCAAUAGUGACAUUGUAACACUGUUAUCUGUCAUAAAUCUCUGAAUCACACCUCACAUGUACAUAUUUUUUAAAGUAGACAACCCAGCAUAUUCAAUAUGUGGUUCUUUAAGUCUUUUUCAGUAGCCACUUAGUCACAAACACUGGCCAACGUUAGCGUUUAUAUUUGUUUGUGCGUUAAAAAUGCAAAACCAAUUACAAUAGCUAACUUUGGCCAGUGUUUGUGACUAGGUUGCAACUAAAAAAGACUGAACAUACCCCAUUUGCAAUACCUUGGGUUGUCUUCUUUUGCACACGGUAUGCCAUGAUGGGGGUAAUUCUCAUUCCUGGGCUACCAUACGCUCUCAAAGGCAACAUAACCAAUCUGGCAAAUUUUAGUGUGAAAAAAAUAAAAAUUAAGCCUUAUAUUUGACCUUGUAACUUUAAAAAACACUAUAAAACCUGUACAUGGGUGGUGCUGUUAUACUUGGGAGACUUUGCUGAACACAAAUAUUAGUGUUUCAAUAGUAAAACGUAUCACAACAAUGAUAUAAUCAAUGAAAGUGCCGUUUGUGUGUGAAAAAUGCAAAAAAAUUUACUUUCACUGACAAUGUCAUCGCUGUGAUAUGUUUACUGUUUUGAAAUAGUGAUGUCCCGAACGGUUUGCCGCGGUUUGCCGUGAACGGUUCGCCGCGGACUCCAGUCAGCAGACACAUUCCAGCCAAUCAGCAGCAGACCCUCCCUCCCAGAACCUCCCACCUUCUGGACAGCUCACUAAGAAUGCAGCUUCAAAUGGAUGCUGUCCAGGAGGUGGGAGGGUCUGGGAGGGAGGGUCUGCUGCUGAUUGGCUGGAAUGUGUCUGCUGACUGGAGUCCGCGGCGAACCCUUCGUGCCGAACCGUGGCGAACCGUUCGCAAACCAUCUGGCGAACCGUUCGGGACAUCACUAUUUUGAAACACUAAUAUUUGUGUUCAGCGAAGUCUCCCGAGUAAAACAGUGCCCCCCAUGUAGAGGUUUUAGGGUGUCAUGGAAAGUUACAGGGUUAAAUACUGGACUUUCGGCCUUGGUUGUAAGACAGGUUCCCCAAAUUGCAAUCAAUAAAAUUACUUAAUUAUGUAAAAAUAUUACAUAAUUAUGCACGUAGAAUUUAAAUAUAUAUAUAUAUAUAUAUUCCAGAAAAAUCUGGGGAUUGAGCCAAGAGCAAACCUCGAAAACCUCUACACUGACAGAGACGUUGUGAUAUGUCAUGAGUUUCUAUUUCAUGUCCUCUCCUCUCUAUCCAUGAGCAGCAUGCUGUUUAUACUCCCUACAGGAUCUUAAAGAAACUGGAAAAAAGGGGCGCACAGCAAAGUUCUGUUCCCCAGCACACUUCCUCAGCAGUAGACUUUUAGUGCGCUAUACUGGUGGUCUUUCUUUUUAUAUCAGGCUGCCUCUAUGAGUACAAUUUAAAAAAAUAUAUAUAGAAUUAUAUAUUUGCCCUCUCCAUAAACUGAGGAGAUAACUCCUCCAGGCACAUUGCCUUCAUGGCAAUGUUGUUUCCUGAUGGCAGUGGUCUCUUUCAGCCGUAUAAUGCAACCUGCCACACUGCAAAAAUUGUUCAGGAACGGUUUGAGGAAUAUGACAAAGAGUUCACGGUGUUGUCUUGGCCUCCACAUUGAGCAUCUAUGGGAUGUGCUGGGACAACAAAUCCCAUCUAUGGAGGCCCCAUCUCGCAGCUUGCAGGACUUAAAGGAUCUUCUGCUAAUGUCUUGGUGCCUGAUACACUCACAGGUCUUGUGGAGUACUUGCCAUGACGCAUUAGAGAUGUUUUGGCAGCAUGAGGAGGACCUACACGAUAAUAGGCAGGUGGUUUUAAUGUUGUGGCUGAUCAGCGUAUAUCAGCUAAGAAUUUGUGUUGUGUAGAUUUGAAGAUUGGUUUUCUUUUUUUCCUUGUGCUAUCAUUUCUUUGGGAUUAAUGAAUGUAUUCAGUAAAGUAAUUCUGAACUUUGAAGUUCUCUACUUUCCUUUCAUGGUUCCACCCUUUUUCUCCUUCACUUUGAAAUACUUGUGUAUUUGUUAGUUCUGUUAUUUUUCUUACAGUAUAAAACUGUCAAUCAGAAUAAAACUAUGAGCUUCGUGACAAAGGGAUUUUCAAUUUUAGACUGGAAUAGGAGAUCUGAAAUAAAGCUCAGCUGGAUAACCUUUAUAACAUUAAAGCUAAUUUGACUUGAAGAUUUAAAUUCCUUGUCAAUUCCUAAAAACUCUUUUAAUGGCUAACCGUGCAUAAUAGGAGACUAAUCACACAGAAGUCGAGAACGGAGGAAGGCACAGUACGUCAAUGGGGACAUUAUUCUAACAAUAAAAUUGUGAAAACUAAGAACUGCAUGAAAAAAAUAUGAAAAAUAUUUUAGCCAAUAUAAAAAUAUAGGGAUGCUGUAGUGUUGAUGGUGCUUGGAGUGCCUUGGUGCCCCCACACCAAGCAGGCAAACCAUAUGAGAAGACAAAUAAACAAAAAACAAAUGGGGUUUUAGCUAUUACAAAUGCAAUAGCAGUGUGAUAUUGUAACAGUGAGGAUCACUAUUUCGAUAACAAUUAUCCAAAUAGCGAUCUUCUCUGUAACAAUUUUACACUGUUAUUGCAUUUUUAUCUAUCUAGGAAUAGCUGAAACCCAGUUUAUUUUUUGUUUAUAUGUAUGCUCGAUCUUAAAGAAGGUUUUAAAGGAGGAGCCUUGAAGGGGUAGCCACCACUAUAUUCAAGGACAUUUUUAGCAAGUUAACUGUACUAUUCAACCUUGAUAUAUAUAUAUGUUUGCUUUACUGGCUGUUUAUGAUUGUAAGUCACAUUAGAAUGCAGCAACGUGCCUCCACUGCAGGCUCCAAGCUAACCACAAGCUCUCUGUGUAAAGCCCAGUGGUGCAAUUAGCUGUAGUGAUUAUGGUGUGUGGAGUGGAUUAUGGGAUGUUUAAAUAAUAUAAACGGUUCGGUGCUAGGCGCUUCAAAAAGUAGAAUUAAAUAUAUCCUGACUCUCUUAUCCAUUGCUAUCGGGGCAUGACAAGCUGUAUGAUCUUAUCUGCACUAAAAAAAUAAAGAAUAAAAAAAAAUAUAUAUAUAUAUAUAUAUGAUUACAUAAAAAGUAUGACUGAUAUAAAGAAGUACUUACCCAACACUGAAAACAUUAAUACAAAUACAAAAAUAUAUAUUAGUGCAUAAAUAACUUAGUACCUCAGUGAAGUAUUUAAGGUUGCAAAAAUCCUAAAUAUCAUUACACAAGUUCAGAUUUUAAUAACACCUAAAUUCGUACAAAUACCUACGGGCAGAGAUAUGCCCACUAGUGUUUGGCAACAAGUUUACCCCCAGUUUUAAAAAUGAAGACCAUAAAAGCAAACUUGUAAAAAUAGCUGAGUUUUAGAAUUUUUUUCACCUGGCUGGAAUUUACAAUAACAAGUGGCCAACUAAACACAAUUCAUUGUUGAGUGAAUAAAUCUUGUAUACACCUUGUUUUUAUCUAACACUGUGAUUUCCGAUAUUCCCAUUCUUGGUCACUCAACUCGCAGAACAAUGGGAAGUGAUAAAUGACUGUUCUCCUUGAAAUUGACCGUUCAGCAUUCUACGAGGCAUCGAAACAGGCUGCAAUCGGAAAGCAUUAGAGAUUGAGAUUCAAGUGAAACGAUAUAAAUGGCGCAUUGUCUUAGCUAUUUCCAUUCUCAAACAACCUACGCGUUAAAUUGAGGGCACUUUAACUUUGACCCCAGGCACUUGUCGGUUAAUGGGAAUAUAAAAAAGAAUGCGCUUAGAGAAAGGGUUAGGAGUAUGUUCUUUCAUUCUCAGAAAAGUUAUAAUGGAGCAAUUUCUCAAAGCCACAUAGUUACAGCUUGUCAAAGCAGUUUCAAUGCAGAGAAACAACUAAAUUGUCAAAUUGUCUGGAUACGAUGACAACCUGUUAGGACCCAUCACAAAGAACCCAUGCAACUUAUUGGUAACUAUUCUAAAUAUGUGGUUUUAGGACUAGUCGUUUAGUAUGGAUGAUAUAUUAGUUAAUGUAUACAUAUUGAUAAAAUAACACAUGUUCAUAUCACACCAAUCUUCAUGGAGAUCCUACUUUGCAAGGAAAUAUCAAAUAGUUAACUAUUUCAUGAAAAUUCCAACAGAUAUUUCAACCAUAACAUAGCUACUAACAGCAAUUUCGUCUUGAUAUUCUGAUCAUUACACCUAGAAACAUGCCCUUUCAUCCUAAACAUCUUCUCAUCAUCCUGAGAAUCUGCCCGUUCAUCAUUAGAAUCUUGCCAUUCACUCUUAGAGACUGAUGUAAUGCAUCUCCUGACUUUCUUUUGGUUAGUGUGACAAAACUCUGUAUUUCUUUGUCCCAGUUAUUUUUCCUGCAUUCUGUAGGUUUAACUACCAAACACAGAUCACCCUCUUGGCUAUUUUAUCUUCAAAGAAAACCACAAACUUAAGUGCUGUCUCUGUGUGGCCGCCGUUUGUAUACCCGAACAACAUGUGCAUUGGAAAAUGGCGGCCAUCUUGUCUCCCAAAAGCAGGCAGCGGUACUUGGUCGUCGAGUGUCUGGAACUCUAAGUUCACUCGACUCCGCGAACACCAGUCAUCUGGUAUUAAUGCCUGCUUCCUUCCACCACAAGCCAGGAGAGCGAUGUUCUGUAGGAUUGUUUGCACAAACUAGGCAAAACAUAGAAACAUAGAAUGUGACGGCAGAUAAGAACCGUUCGGCCCAUCUAGUCUGCCCAAUAUUUCAAAAUACUUUUAUUAGUCCCUGGCCUUAUCUUAAGUCUAGUUUCAAUUCCUUGGCGUCUGCUGGGAUCCCCUUAAUACCUAGAUUUUCUCUUAUUCUUAUUGUUAGAGGCUCCAUCGAAAGUAUAUAAAGUAUUGGUGACAGCGGGCAUCUUUGGUGGGUGCCAUUGCCCAAUUGGAACCAGUCGGAACACAAAUCUAUUCCCACCACUCUAGGCAUCAGUUCUUGAUAUUUAGUUUUAAUUGCUGCACACAUCCAACCACUAAAGCCCUUGCAUGGUCCUGAAAACCACCCAUCCUGAUUCCAUACCUUCCAUUGUUGGGAGCUAUGCGAAUGUGCAUUCACAAUCUUAAUGGCAUGCGCAAGCACCUGAAAUCUCAAAACUGGAGCUCGCUUCAGCCGCUCAACUGCACAUGGUCAUUGAUCGGAUAAGCGCUCCCUCCAACCAAAGAGGAUUUAAAGAUGGUCUCUCUAAUGGUGCAAGAGUAAGGCAGGAGACGCACUGUAAACAAAGGUAUUCACUUAUAGGUAUGCAUUAUAAUUGGAUACAGACAAAGGCAUUAAUACACAGGACUUUGGAUGAUACUAGGCGGAUAGGAAGACAUGAAGGGAAGUUAAUUAGCACAAUCAAUGUUCAAGCAGUACAGAGGUUGAACCUCGUUACCAGUUAAUAGACAGUCGGAUACUUCACUUGUGUCUUACAGUGUGUUAAGUGCCCUGCAAUAUAAAAAAGCAAUAUGGCUUUAUGAAAUUUAUGUGCACGAACGCUUUGAUCACAAGACAUUCCUAGAAGCAAGUAAGGUCAGAGGUCACCAUAGAAAAAAGCAAUGGAGGUGAUGUUUCUAGAGUUGAAAUGUAUCUAUCUUUCUAUCUAUAGCAUAUGAGGAAUCUGUAAUAGCCAUUACCCAGCACUGAGAAACGGCACACAUUACUUACAGGGUUAUUCACUAAACUCUGAAUGUUUGUGACUUUAAUCUGAAAAGCAAUGCCGCAGGCAACAACCUGAGGCUCUCCAUAACGUUCCUGGCACCAGAUUAGUGUCAGCCAUGCUUUGCGUUAGCUAUGUUCGAUAUUUGUUUGACUAGUUUAUUUUCUUUUUCUUUCAAAAGCUUUAAAUUUUGUUUCCUUGUGUAACUGACUUAUACAAAGUCUAAUGCUUUCCGUUGAGGGUCACACAGAUCCAUACCACUAUCUCUCCCCUUGCCUCUAUAUUCAUGUUAGAUAGUAGAGUAAAGGGAUAAAGGGACACUAUAGUCACCAGAACAACUAUAGCUUAUUGUAUUUUUUCUGGCUUUUUGCUGUAAACACUGUUUUCAGAGAAAAUGCAGUGUUUACAUUACAGCCUAAUGAUAUCUCCACUGGCCACUCCUCUGAUGGCUACUAGAGGUGCAUCCUGAGGCAGUGCUGCACAUUAUGACUGCUAUUCAGUGUCUGACUGCUUUUCAGACACUGAACUUUCCUCAUAGAGAUGCAUUGAUUCAAUUAAUCUCUAUGAGGAGAUGCUGAUUGGCCAGGUCUGUGCUUGAAUUGUGCUGGCUCUGCCCCUGAUAUGCCUCCUUGAAGGUCUCAGCCAAUCUUAUGGGAAAGCAUUGUGAUUGGCUCAGAGCACAACUUCUGAUGAUGUCAGUCAAGCAGGCAGAUCACGGGCAGAGCCAGCAGCAGCAGACAUCAAUAAAGGUACGAUUUUGCUAUAUUUAGGGUUGCUGGGAGGCAAGAUGGUGUUUUUAAUACUAUUGGGUCAGGAAUAGAUGUUUGUGUUCUUGACCCUAUAGUGCUCCUUUAAGCUGGCUAUGCGAAAAACUAAUUGUUGAUUUCUGCCUAUUAUCUUACGCUCUAACGGAUAACUACAUAGCCUACAUAUCGUACUUUAUUGGAUGAGAGCCAAAUGUAUAAGUGAAGUGCACACCACAAUAGUGUUAGUUAUUUUGAUUUAUUUUCACCUAUCAGUAUUGGCCUAAAUACGUUGGCUCACCAAUACAGGAAUACUUGGAGGAAGUAUUUAUAGGGUAGGCAUACAAUACCAAUCCCUACUUAUGCCAAAUAUAGUUUUGCCCACUUAAUACCUGCUUAGGCUUUUAUAUAUCUAUAAAAAAACCUUACCUCAGGGGGCUGAGCUAGCUGGAGAACGGAGCGGUCGCACUUCUCUGAGCUCUGUAUCUCAGUCAUAGAUAUUGGACCUGUAAAAGUGGAAACGAGACCCAAAACCGAGCACAAAUACUAGCAGUGGCACUAGAGACCGCUAUGGGCAAGAAAUCUAAAAAAACAAAGGCAGACAGAGUACCUACGAACCGGGAUAUCGUAGAGCUGCUGCGGAACACACACAAGGCCGCAUGGGACUCCUCUGAAGAUUUCACCUUUGACCUUGGAGCAUGGGAUAUGGCGGGCAUACCACCAGAACCUGCCAGGUCACCACCAAAACCUGGAGAACCGGUUACAGUGAAUCUGCUCCAACAGAUGCUGGCAGAGUUAUACAAGAAUAUUGCGACCGACAUGGCCUAAUACAAAAAUGCCAUCGAAACUGCCACUUCCAAAAUAACUAAGCUUGAGGCCACCUCCAGCACCCAAGACUCUCCGUUGACAGUUGUAGAGCAACAAGUAGCCGACUUAGAGCGCCAGCAAACCACCACCUCAGGUAGAACUGACGCCAUGGAAGACCAUCGCAGACGAUACAAUCUGAAGGUUAGAGGCAUACCCGACUCAGUGGGGACAGCAGAGGCAAUAGGCAGCUCAUAUGACUUCCAGACCCUACUUCUACGCAGGCCUCAGGGUCGAUCCUAGUCAGCUCUAAUCCAGGGGCAACACCGCCAUAACCGCCCUCCCCUAUCACCUGCCAUUAUCUACAUGCUUCCAUAGAAACAUUACAACUUUGUAGGGAUGUGCAUGAGAAAAAAAUUCGGUUCAGCCCGGCAUUCCAAAAUUCAGCACUUCGGAAAUUCGGCACUUCGGACAUUCGGAAGCAUCCGAAUAUCCGAAAUUAGUCCGAAUUUGCAUUCGGAACGAAACGAAUUGCACUUGUCUACAACUUUGGACAGGGGUCCUCCCCAUUGGGCUAUGGUACUCACACUGAGGGUUAACUCUUGCACUCCUCUCAUGACCUCAUGGGGAUUCACUCGUUUUGUAUGUAUUCUGUUAUUACUUUUCAUUUUAUAAUUCAAAAAAUUCAGUCACCAUGAUAUUGCCCUUCUGACAAUGACUUUGUUUGAUAUCAUAACCGGAAUGUCUAAUGUUAUAUCGCAUGCUUGUUAAAUCUCCUCAUGGUGAGUGACAAACAUAAAGAAUUACAAAAAUAAAAACCUUAUCUCACUGGUUUUAGAGGUACAUUGAAAAUGAUUAUAUAUUUGUUUAUAUAUCAUGUUUUAUCUUUGUAUACCUGUGCUUAUAGUAUAAUGCAUGACAUUUCUCUCUCACUAAUGAGAUGAGCAAAAAAGAAGAAUUAAAAAAAUAAAUAAAUCUAAAGAGCAAAAUUGAUUUAAAAAUGGCUACACUGUGAGUAUGGCUAAAUUGACUACAUUUUGGUUAAAUACUUUUUUAUUAUUAUUAUUAUUUUCCAGAUCAGCUAUAUUUGCCUCAGUUUUUAGAUAUGGAUUUAAUUUAAUUUCUCGAGAAGUACAUUUCUUUCUGCAUGUUUCAAAUAGAACAUGGUAGUUAAUUCAAUGUUUUACCAAAAUAAGAUGAUGUUACACACUAUUUUAUUAAGUUAUUUUUUCACGCUGUUUUAACUGAUCUUUUUUCUCUCCCUCUUUUCUUGUGAUAUUUUUACAGGUUGGACUAUUAGAUUUCAUGCUUUCACACAGCAAUCUGGCUUUAGCCUUUCAGCUCUUGGAAUCCAAAACGCAAACCGACCACAUGCCAUCAAUAAACGUUUCUAUUGAG